CCUACGGGGAGCAGCAGUGGGGAAUAUUGCACAAUGGGGGAAACCCUGAUGCAGCGACGCCGCGUGAGUGAAGAAGUAUCUCGGUACGUAAAGCUCUAUCAGCAGGGAAGAAAAUGACGGUAUCUGACUAAGAAGCCCCGGCUAACUACGUGCCAGCAGCCGCGGUAAUACGUAGGGGGCAAGCGUUAUCCGGAUUUACUGGGUGUAAAGGGAGCGUAGACGGGAGCACAAGUCUGGAGUGAAAUCCCAGGGCUUAACCCUGGAACUGCUUUGGAAACUGUGCGGCUGGAGUGCAGGAGGGGUAAGCGGAAGUCCGAGUGUAGGGGUGAAAUGCGUAGAUAGUAGGAGGAACACCGGUGGCGAAGGCGGCUUACUGGACUGUAACUGACGUUGAGGCUCGAAAGCGUGGGGAGCAAACAGGAUUAGAUACCCUUGUAGUC
rnacentral:rRNA from 1 species